GCGUCUCCAAGUCUGCGAGGCCGCCGUGCGCGCGGGGACCGGAGCGCCACGGCCCGCGCGCCCCGCCGAGCACCGCCGGCCCCGGGGUCUAUGGGGUCGCCCCUCUGCGCCGCCUGGCCGGCCCCACGCCGCGCCCGGAGCCCGCCCCGCGACCAGUUUCCCCACAGGUCUCCCGGAGGCCCCCUCGGGCCAUGAGCGCGUCUGGCUCCUUCCCGCUGCAGGAGACGCGGAUCUCGAGGCCCGCAGGCUGCUCCGGGCCCGUCUGAGCGGUCCCCGCGGCGAUGGCGGCGCCCUACGGCGGCAGGGGCGGCGGCGGCGAGGUCAAAUGCGGGGGAGGUCGUGGCGGCAGCAUCGCCUGGGACUUUCUGCCGGGGCUCAUGGUCAAGGCACCCCCGGGACCCUGCCUGCAGGCGCAGCGCAAGGAGAAGUCCCGGAACGCGGCGCGCUCGCGGCGCGGGAAGGAGAACCUGGAGUUCUUCGAGCUGGCCAAGCUGCUCCCGCUGCCCGGGGCCAUCUCGAGCCAACUGGACAAGGCGUCCAUCGUGCGCCUCAGCGUCACCUACCUCCGCCUGCGCCGCUUCGCUGCGCUCGGGGCGCCGCCCUGGGGGCUGCGGGCCGCGGGGCCGCCGGCCGGCCUGGCCCCCGGCCGCAGGGGUCCCGCCGCGCUGGUCUCCGAAAUCUUUGAGCAACACCUGGGAGGACACAUCCUGCAGUCCCUGGACGGCUUCGUGUUUGCCUUGAACCAGGAGGGGAAGUUCCUCUACAUCUCGGAGACCGUCUCCAUUUAUCUGGGUCUCUCACAGGUGGAGCUGACGGGCAGCAGCGUCUUUGACUACAUCCAUCCGGGGGACCACUCCGAGGUGCUGGAGCAACUGGGGCUGCGGGCCCCCACCCCCGGGCCCCCCACCCCGCCUUCCGUCCCCUCCUCUUCCUCCUCGUCCUCCUCGUCUUCCUCGCUUACGGAUACCCCCGAGAUCGAGGCCAGCCCCGCCGAGGGGUCCCCCUCCUCCGGGGUCCAGGAGCGCUCGUUCUUCAUCCGCAUGAAAUCAACCCUCACCAAGAGGGGGCUGCACGUCAAGGCCUCGGGGUACAAGGUCAUCCACGUGACCGGCCGCCUCCGGGCCCGCGCGCUGGGGCUGGUGGCCCUCGGGCACACGCUGCCCCCGGCGCCACUGGCUGAGCUGCCCCUCCACGGACACACGAUCGUCUUCCGUCUCAGCCUGGGGCUCACCAUCCUUGCCUGUGAGAGCAGAGUCAGCGACCACAUGGACCUGGGGCCCUCGGAGCUGGUGGGCCGCAGCUGCUACCAGUUCGUCCACGGACAGGAUGCAGCCAGGAUCCGCCAAAGCCACCUGGACCCGCGCCGGCGGCUUCGUGUGGCUGCAGUCCGUGGCCACCGUGGCUGUGAGCGGGAAGAGCCCUGGGGAGCGCCACGUGCUCUGGGUCAGCUACGUGCUCAGGUGAGGGCUGCGCCCCACCCACCCCACAGUGGACUCGGAACCCCCUCCAGAAGAUUCUGUCGGCUCUCCCCUCCUCAGGGUGGGGGCUCUUCAGCGAGGGCUUCUAGAAGAGGACAAGCCCGGAGGGGUUUGAAACAUGAAGGGGAAAGGGGGACAGAGAGGAAGUGCCUGGAGGUAGGACGCGCUGGCUUGCAGGUGGCAGAGAGGAACGUGGAGGGAGUGACAGUCUCUCCUGGGGAGGCAGAUCCAAAGCGGCCUCAGGUCUACACUGAGGGGCUGCAUUUGAUGUGGGGCACUGGGGAGCCAUGGCAGGCUCCUACCAGGGGAGGCCGCAGAGCAGAGCAACGGAUGGAAAGAAGCUAGAGGUGGGAAGGGCAUUCCAGGCUGAGGGCACAGCCUAGGCAAAGGCUCAGAGCAACCACCAACUGGUCUGAGGAAGUAAAGGGAGCACUUGAGGCUGCAGGAGCAGUGAGAGAUGACGCUGAGGAUGAUGGCAGCGGCACUGGGGAGCCAUGGAGGGUUUCAGGCUGCAAGAGUCACAGUCAGAUCUGCUUUUUGGAGAGACCUCCUCCAGCCGCCACGAAGAGGGACAUCUAAGGGACAAGGCAGGGGCUGGGGGACCAGCGAGGACGGGCCCGUCCUGGGAAUGCCCAGCAAUACAGGGGAGGAGGCGAGCCGCCCAGGUCUCCAGCUUCGCUGGGCCAGGAUCUGAGCCUCUGAGAGGACAGCAGGUCUGGGAGAAGAUGCUGAGGUCAGAUGAGCAGGAGGUGCCCAGGGGGACACGGAGGUGGUGACAUCCAGGGGCCACAGGCUGCACAGGCCUGGCCUUGGGAGAGAGGGCCACGCUGGGCUAGAAGCCAGCGUGCAGUCUGGGGGUCCAGGGAGCAGGCCUAAGGCCUCAGGGUGGGGGCUCUACAUUCACUGGCAGGGGAGGGGUCUACACCCACAGAGGGGGAGGGGAAGUCUACACCCACAAGACUGGGGGCAGGAGGGAGUCGACCCUCACCAGAGGCUGGGUGGCCCGGGACCCCUAACUCCCAACGCCAUCUGUCCUGUCCCAGCCAAGCCGAGGGUGGCCAGACACCUCUAGACGCCUUCCAGCUUCCAGCCAGUGUGGCCUGUGAGGACACACCCAGCCCGGAGCCAGAGCCCACGGAGCCGGAGCCUCCAGUGGGAAGGAAGCAGGCUGACCCCCUGGACAAGGAUGAAG